GCAAUCUGUCGCUUUAUCAAUCAGCUGGCUGUGUUUUUCCGCCUAGACUCUUCAGGCGAUAAACACUUCAUUUGUCCAGUGCCACAAAAACACUAGAGCAGGACAGGGAUGCGGGGCGUGCUGGAGCCCAUCCCAGCAGUCAUUGGGAGAGAGGCAGGAAUACACCCUGGACAGGUCGCCAGUCCAUCGCAGGACACACACGCAGAGGGCAUAGCUGGAAACCAGAGAAGACCCACGCGCACACGGGGAGAGCAACUCUGUGAAAGGCUUCUGCUGAUUCCUCCUCGACAGAGAGUCCAGUGAUCAGACGGACAUCACAUCCUGGUGAGGAGUCGGCGCCGACGAUGCUGCAGGACUGAUGGAGCUCUUAUAGAGAGAGAGAG